rnacentral:rRNA from 1 species
GAUGAACGCUGGCGGCGUGCCUAAUACAUGCAAGUCGAACGCAUUGUGGUUGAAAUGAUAUGAAGAACUUGUUCAGAUUUGAUUUUCAACAUUGCAAUGAGUGGCGAACGGGUGAGUAACACGUGGGAAACCUACCUCUUAGCAGGGGAUAACAUUUGGAAACAAAUGCUAAUACCGUAUAAUAAUUAAAACCGCAUGGUUUUAGUUUAAAAGAUGGUCUUGCUAUCACUAAGAGAUGGUCCCGCGGUGUAUUAGUUAGUUGGUGAGGUAAUGGCUCACCAAGACAAUGAUACAUAGCCGAGUUGAGAGACUGACCGGCCACAAUGGGACUGAGACACGGCCCAUACUCCUACGGGAGGCAGCAGUAGGGAAUCUUCCACAAUGGACGAAAGUCUGAUGGAGCAACGCCGCGUGUGUGAUGAAGGGUUUCGGCUCGUAAAACACUGUUGUAAGAGAAGAAUGACAUUGAGAGUAACUGUUCAAUGUGUGACGGUAUCUUACCAGAAAGGAACGGCUAAAUACGUGCCAGCAGCCGCGGUAAUACGUAUGUUCCAAGCGUUAUCCGGAUUUAUUGGGCGUAAAGCGAGCGCAGACGGUUAUUUAAGUCUGAAGUGAAAGCCCUCGGCUCAACCGAGGAAUUGCUUUGGAAACUGGAUAACUUGAGUGCAGUAGAGGAAAGUGGAACUCCAUGUGUAGCGGUGAAAUGCGUAGAUAUAUGGAAGAACACCAGUGGCGAAAGCGGCUUUCUGGACUGUAACUGACGUUGAGGCUCGAAAGUGUGGG